UACGGAGGGUGCAAGCGUUAUCCGGAAUCACUGGGCUUAAAGGGCGCGUAGGCGGGCGGUCAAGUCCGGGGUGAAAGCCCCCAGCUCAACUGGGGAAGUGCCUCGGAUACUGAUCGUCUCGAGGGAGAUAGGGGCGUGCGGAACUUCCGGUGGAGCGGUGAAAUGCGUAGAUAUCGGAAGGAACACCGGUGGCGAAAGCGGCGCGCUGGAUCUCUUCUGACGCUGAGGCGCGAAAGCCAGGGGAGCGAACGGG
rnacentral:rRNA from 1 species